CAUAAGUGAAGAUUUCCUCCUAGAGCAACCAUUUGAGUGUUGAUUAUACGAGACAUCUUACACCGACAAGAUGAAAGUCAUCAUCUCCGUUAUCGUUGCUGUCGUCACUGUUUGCUAUUUCAUCGCCGCGGCCAGCGCUAACCCGCUCGGGGGUGUAUAUGGAUGCAUGUGUGACCGGACACCUUGCCCAUGCGCAUAGAGAGCCCGGUGGAGGAUACAAUUAUGAAUUUUUUCAAAGAUCUUCAAAAAGAGGCUUGUAUCUGUGACAUAUGGCAUGAUAAUGCUAGUGAUACUUUAAUGUCAUGAUAUAGUUGUAUCCAGUUGAAAUAAAAAUACAAAGCUUAUUAA